UACGUAGGGCGCAAGCGUUGUCCGGAAUUAUUGGGCGUAAAGAGCUCGUAGGCGGCCUGUUGCGUCCGCUGUGAAAUCCCGGGGCUUAACCCCGGGCUUGCAGUGGAUACGGGCAGACUGGAGGUAUGCAGGGGAGAACGGAAUUCCUGGUGUAGCGGUGAAAUGCGCAGAUAUCAGGAGGAACACCGGUGGCGAAGGCGGUUCUCUGGGCAUGUCCUGACGCUGAGGAGCGAAAGUGUGGGGAGCGAACAGG
rnacentral:rRNA from 1 species